AGAGUUUGAUCCUGGCUCAGAAUCAACGCUGGCGGCGUGCCUCAGACAUGCAAGUCGAACGCGAAAGCUCCCUUCGGGGAGCAAGUAGAGUGGCGCACGGGUGAGUAACACGUAGGUAAUCUACCUUUGGAUUGGGAAUAACAACCGGAAACGGUUGCUAAUACCGAAUAAUGCAGCGGCACCUAAUGGUGACAGUUGUUAAAGCGGGGGAUCGCAAGACCUCGCGUCUAAAGAGGAGCCUGCGGCGGAUUAGCUAGUUGGUAGGGUAACGGCUUACCAAGGCGAUGAUCCGUAGCCGGCCUGAGAGGGCGGUCGGCCACACUGACACUGACAUACGGGUCAGACUCCUACGGGAGGCAGCAGUCGGGAAUUUUGGGCAAUGGGCGAAAGCCUGACCCAGCAACGCCGCGUGAAGGAUGAAAUCCCUCGGGAUGUAAACUUCGCAAGAACGGGAAGAAUAAGUCUGUGUUAAUACUACAGACGAUGACGGUACUGUUUGUAAGCUCCGGCUAACUCCGUGCCAGCAGCCGCGGUAAUACGGGGGGAGCAAGCGUUGUUCGGAUUUACUGGGCGUAAAGGGCGCGUAGGCGGCCACCGCAAGUCGACUGUGAAAUCUCUGGGCUUAACCCAGAACGGUCAGCCGAUACUGCGGGGCUAGAGUGCAGAAGGGGCAACUGGAAUUCUCGGUGUAGCGGUGAAAUGCGUAGAUAUCGAGAGGAACACCUGCGGCGAAGGCGGGUUGCUGGGCUGACACUGACGCUGAGGCGCGAAAGCUAGGGGAGCGAACGGGAUUAGAUACCCCAGUAGUCC
rnacentral:rRNA from 1 species